rnacentral:rRNA from 1 species
UACGAAGGGGGCUAGCGUUGCUCGGAAUCACUGGGCGUAAAGGGUGCGUAGGCGGGUCUUAAGUCAGGGGUGAAAUCCUGGAGCUCAACUCCAGAACUGCCUUUGAUACUGAAGAUCUUGAGUUCGGGAGAGGUGAGUGGAAUUCCGAGUGUAGAGGUGAAAUUCGUAGAUAUCGGGAGGAACACCAGUGGCGAAGGCGGCC